AAACAGUGGAUCUAAGCACAGUGAGGAGGCGAGUGGUGUAUUUUGGCAGUGGCAACAGCAACAGCGGGUCACUGCUGCUCAUGCAGAUUUGUACAAGCACGGUAUGCAGGCUCUUGUUCAUUGCUGGCAAAAAUGCAUAGGUGCUAAAAAUGUUUUUCAGGAUUUUUGUAGUGGUACUGCAGGAUCUUGAGGAACUUCACCGACUGAAUUCUGUAAAGAGUACAUCUCAGGAGCUAUUGGUCAGGAAACUCAAGCUUUGGGAACUCAAAUACUGGGUAUUUUCACCAGACAUGACUUAAGCACAGAGUGGGAAACAGAAACAGACCUGCGUUCACCAGUCCAUCAUGUGAAGCAGAAGAAGUUCAGCUCAGUUAUGGCUACAGCUGUUUACUACUUUGGGGAUUCCCUGCUGGUCAGAAAGCAGAAAGUGUUUGUUUCUGAACCCCAUGCAACUCAGCUCCAAAAUGCAGCAGCAAAUCUUUAAUAGGUCUAUCUUGAAUGUAUGGCAGUUGUAUUGAUGGAUUUGAAGCAUGGGAUGGAAGUGUGGAGUACCAUGUUUUAGUAGACAGAAUUGGCAGUAAUUUGAAAAGCUGUUUACUGAUACCCUUGACCAACCACAGUUCCAAAGGAAGGGACUGUAUUUUAAAGACCUCAUUCAAGUUAUAGAAAUAUUACUGUCACUUAAAAAUAGGAAUUCUUACUCUUUUUUUCUACACAAAGUACUUCUUUUUUUCUCUAAAUACUCUAAAAUUUAUGGAAGUUGUGGAUUUAUGUCAAAACUUGUAAUCAAAGUGAUGCAACAUGCACUCCAAAUGUCUAGUCUAGAAAAAUUGUUAACAAAUGAAUGUAACUUCAGAACUGGAAGCAUUAGCCAGACUGCACCCUAUCUGUCAAUAUCUGCUCCAAAUAUAAUUACAAUUUAUGGAAUAUAAACUUUAUACCACUAGAAGCUAUGUGACCUUCUAGAUGCCUUUGUUAAAGUUAUUUCCAUAUUUUGUCCCUCACACACCCACAAAUAUGACUGAAUUAUUUUGAGCACUCUGAUAUUAACUAGGGCCAAGAUAUGUAAAAAGAAAAAACAUUCAUAAUGUCAAAUGCCUUUCUUAAGUUUUUGCUGAAUAUUUCAGACAGGAAUCAUUUGCCUACAAUAAUGUUUUUGAAUUUUUUGCAUUUUUUUGAAUUGUUGGCUAAAUUCAUAGACUCCGGUAAUAUUUUAAUACAUACAAGGGGUAAUGAUUUAGGAAAAUUGAGAAGUGUGAUACUGAUUAGGCAAAUAAAAUAAAUAAGUAAAUAUAUAAAUGAGUUAUUACCAAAAGGUUUGAUAAUGUGUUCAAAGCAUUAUUCAGUGACAGACUUUUAGCAAUGGAUGUUUAGAAUGAUAAAAAUAAAGCAACAAGCAGAACUCAUAACUGUAUAAAAACAGUGACAAGUUUCAUACUAGAACAAUAAUUAUGGAAAUAAAUUUGACAUCUUACAAUCUCACUGGUGUGGAUAACCCUUUCAUUGAAGGAAGAUUCUGCUUAUGCUGAAGAUGCUGUGAGUUACAAAGACUAAAAUUGAAGUGAAAACUGUAUUUCCACUUUGGUAGUAACCUCACUGAGGUCAACAUAUUUCUCACCCUUGCUGUCUGUAGUUCAAGUGCUACCUAGUUAUUUGCAGAUAACUAGCUGCAAGAUAAAAAAUCUCAUGGAUACUUGACUACUUUAUGAAGAAUGGUUGGGUUAAGGUAUUGGUGUAUAGUGUGACUGAUUUACUCAGCUGUGGACAGUACUCCAGUAAACCUUUUCUUGACAGUUCCUAAGAAGCAAAGUGAAGAAGCACUGAAGAAUAUGGUAGGACAGGAUAGGAUAGCUUGGCCUAGCAUAAUGUAGUAUAGCAUAGGAUUCCAUAGCAUAGCAGAGAAUAGGAUAGCAUAGCAUAGGAAGCAUAGCUUGUAAGGAGUAAUAUAUUCCUACAAUAGACAUGGAGAGGAGAAUAAAUCCUGUAAAUCAGGAAAAAGUAUUCUCCAAAUAAAAGCAGUAGAAAGUCUAAAUAAUCAACGAACCAGUUUCAGGAUAGCAUAAUCAGUCAGUAUAAGCUUUUAAAAGAAUAAAACCAUGACUAAGCAAUAACACUAGUAGUAACACAUCUUUAUUAAUUACAUGAAUUUAUCUUUGAAAUCUAUUAGAAGUACUAGGUUAAUGCAAGUAUAUUAUUUUUUUAAUCAGCUCAUCUUAUGUGACAUUCAAAAGAAUGUUGUAGCAUACAUUAAUUUUAUUGCUACACAUUGCAUUUAUCUUCUAGCUUCAGGCAUACCCUGCCUAACCAACUCUGUGGGAAAAAAAAACCUGUUUCUUUUCAUGGUUCUCUGAGUCAUUGGCAGUGCCAUUUCAGUGCAAAAUACUGAGAGAAAGUUAUAUUGCUGUAUCAGAAGUACUUUUUUAGGGUUUAUUUCUAGAGAGAUGUUUUAUUAUGGCAGGAUGACAGCUUAGAAGAAAGGUAGGGGUGCAGAGGCUAGGCAUUCCCACAACUCAUUAUCCUGCAAAUACAUGGAUUACCACAGUGCGAAAGAGGCAACUGUAUUCAAGAGCAGUCAACAAAUCUCUGUGUGAAUAGUUACUGUGAGAGGCUUGAAAUGAGGAAAGUUGAAAGCGACUUUUGUGCUGCUCAGACUCAUUCAGUCAUGUAAGGGGUGAAGCUUCAUUUCUCCAGCUUAAUAAAGUAGUUCAUUUUUAAUUAAGAAAUAAGAUAUGGUAGGACGUAAACAGUAACUGCAUUAAUUCAUAGUUAGUGUGCUGCAGCUAGCUAUGAGCCUGAAGGAUAAGUCAACAUCAGAGCAACUAGACGUGAAUUACCACCACUGAGUGUUCAUUUUGGAAUGUCUUACAGCCAUUGUAAAAAUGUUAUUAUUUUGAAAAUAUUUAUAUUGUUAAUUAAAGGUGUGCACAAAUACAUUUUUGUUUCAAACCACACACAGUUUAUUCUUUUUUUUUUUAAGUGUAUUCAUUUAUUUAGUAGGAGAGAAAUUCACCCCUCCCUGCACAAAGCACAUUUACAAAGAGAAAGUGGCAACAGGAGAAGGGAAUAACUGCUCCAUUCCAUUCUGCUAAUCCCAGCAUCUUCAGUAUCUUAGUGAAGGUUUGAACACAAAAUUAUCAGAAUUGUGGAAUAAAAAGGCAGUGAUUGUAAAAGCAUUUAGAUAAACAGUGGAAGCUGAAAAUUCUUGGUUCUGAAGAGGUUCUGAAAGUUCUUUUCUGCAGAAAUACAGAAUAAAUCUCUUGCAACACAGUAAGAUAAGUUCCUUGGCUUCAGAGAGCUGCUGUGUAUUCAAGUAGGAUAAGAUGCCACCCUAAUGACUAAUAUGUAAUUAAAUCUGUAGGGUAUUUACCUGCUGCUCAUCUCCUCACCCACUGCAGAUUUCAGAUGUACCAUGUAAUGGAUUGUGAGCACACCUAAACUCCUACCGUACCUACUCUGAGUUAGACCUCAGCCAGCUUUUUUCCAACAGUACUAUAGUCCUGUCACUACAGUGCAAGGCUCUUUAUCCUGCAAACGAUGCAGGAACAUUUAAUAAUACAGAAGAAAACAUAUAAUUCUUAGUAUUCUUUCAGUAAAAACCUUAUUUUGUUUUACUAAAAAAAUAAAUUUAAUAUGGUUUAAUGAUAUGGGUGGACAGACAAAAUUCCAACAAGAUGAACAAAAAAAAGGAAAUAAAUAUUUAGGGUUUUUUUUCAUUCCAUCUUACAAGUUCUGUAGUAAUUACAGUUUCUUUCAUUACCAUUCUUCCUUUCCUUUUCUCAUUUUUAUCAGGUUAGUACCCAAAGAAAGAAUUUCUGGCUUAUUCUUCAUUUCAGAGAGGGCAUGUUAGCACUGAGAUGGGUUCUAAUAAUAUAAGUUGGCAACAAGUUCUGUAUAUAAUAUCAUAAAAAGUCAGUUUCUGUGAUAAUACGAGACCAAAUGUAUGGAAAUACAGUGCAUUUGGAGCACAUUGCAUGAUUAGGUUUCUUUAUGUUGCUGAAAACCAAUUAAAAAUACAAUGAGAUAUCAUACAAUACAACCACCCCAUCCGGUAACAAAAUAAUUACUGUGACUCUUCCAAACAUCAUUUCAGGAAUUUCUUUUCCAUAUGGUAUAUGAAAAAAAAUCAUUGGCAGUGUUGAGUUGCUACAUCUGCCAAAAAUGCUCUUUGUUAAGCAGUAAUUCAAGUAGCAAAUAAGUUUUAUGUAUAAUUAGCUUACUAAAUGACCAUGUAAAAUAGGUGAAUUUUGUUGUUCAUGAAUAAUUCAUACCUGUGAAUAUAUUAUUACUACUAGUUUUGUUUAAAGUUAACUAUCUUUGAGAUAGAUAAGAAAGAUAGAUAUAUCUUUUAAUAAUUGUAUCAAAGUGUGGAAAACAAUAUAGAAAUGUAGCAGUAUCUACUAGAAUUACCAUGGUUUCGUAUGCCAUGAAAACUGCAUAUUGCGUUGAAUGCUCUGAGGGCUUAAGAAAUGCUUUAUCUUCACAGGACACAGGAACAACUAGAAGUAGGAAUGUCAUUAAAGAGAGCAGUUGUAUUCUUUAUCAUAAUCACUUGCAUUGCAAGUGUCAUUCACCACUAGAGCUCUCCUUCAUAGGGCGAUUUUGGUCUGUUGGUCCAGUUUUAAAUAAACAUUGGGUUUAAACUAAGCCACAAAUACAAUGGACUUUUAAAUGAUUAAAUGUACUUUCAGACAUCUCAGUAAGAAUGGCAUUAAUGAUUUGAUUCAGUCUUCUAAGAAUUUGGAAACAAGAAAAAAUUCCUACAUAGCUCAGACAUUAUCUGAAAAUAGAUUCACUACAUGUAGUCUUAACAAGCUAGUAAUCAUUUAUUUUUCCCUCCUUUAAGGAAAACUUUAAAACAACCAACCAAAAAAAAAAGACUUUUUUUUCCUUUUUCUGUUUAAACAGUUUCAAUACUCAGUAGAAACAAGGAAUGACACACCAACAAUAGGUUUAUUAUCUAUUACAUUAAGAAAUAGUUGUGUUUUACUCAAUAACAAAGCUACUUUAGCCUCUAAUAUUUUAUGAAUAUUCUUACUGCACAGUGAAAGGCAUCAGUCUCAAUGACUCUCUCUCAAAUGAUCAAAACUAAUUGUUACAAUUGCUUCCAGUAAUAUAGAGAAUAUACCAGGGUUAACUUUCCAGCUAAACCUUAAAAUUACCAUUAUUUGAAUCCCCAAUUUUCAGAUUUUUGAAAUAAUCAUGUAAGCUGACAAAGUCAUACAAGAAGAAAUGAGACCAGAUCAAGUUGGACUGGACUGGAAGGUAUUUUCCCCAGUGGUGGCCUACAUUAAAAGAAAUAAAUGAAAGAUCAUUUGUAACAAUACUGACUGCUUCCACUUCUCAUAUCUGACAUAUUCAGGUCUAAAAGAAAUGCAUUUUAUUGAAAGGAAAUUCACUGUCAGCUUAACAAUUUCAAAGGAAAGGAUUUAUUUUAAAGGGAAAUAUACUUUGAUUUUAGCUAAAAUCUAUAUAUGAUUUGUAAGGAAAGCAUAUAAGCAAACACAUGUAUCAUAUUCAGCUAAACAUGCUAAAACAUAAAAUUUUCUUCCUGAUUAAUGAAAAUAUUUAAGACUCUGUAAAUUCAAAAGACAAAAAAAAAAAAAAAAGGAAAAAAAGGGAAAAAAGUUGGUAUAUAUAUGUUU